GACAGAGGGUGCAAACGUUAUUCGGAAUUACUGGGCUUAAAGGGUGCGUAGGCUGCGCGGAAAGUUGGGUGUGAAAUCCCUCGGCUCAACCGAGGAACUGCGCCCAAAACUGCCGUGCUCGAGGAAGAUAGAGGUAAGCGGAACUUACGGUGGAGCGGUGAAAUGCGUUGAUAUCGUAAGGAACACCUGUGGCGAAAGCGGCUUACUGGGUCUUUUUCUGACGCUGAUGCACGAAAGCUAGGGGAGCAAACGGG
rnacentral:rRNA from 1 species